rnacentral:rRNA from 8 species
AUUUGAUCUGAAAUCAGGCGGGAUUACCCGCUGAACUUAAGCAUAU